rnacentral:rRNA from 1 species
AGCGAACGCUGGCGGCAGGCCUAACACAUGCAAGUCGAACGAAGUCUUCGGACUUAGUGGCGGACGGGUGAGUAACACGUGGGAACGUGCCUUUAGGUUCGGAAUAACUCAGGGAAACUUGUGUUAAUACCGAAUGUGCCCUUCGGGGGUAAGAUUUAUCGCCUUUAGAGCGGCCCGCGUCUGAUUAGCUAGUUGGUGGGGUAAUGGCCCACCAAGGCUACGAUCAGUAGCUGGUCUGAGAGGAUGACCAGCCACAUUGGGACUGAGACACGGCCCAAACUCCUACGGGAGGGAGCAGUGGGGAAUCUUGCGCAAUGGGCGAAAGCCUGACGAAGCCAUGCCGCGUGGAUGAUGAAGGUCUUAGGAUUGUAAAAUCCUUUCACCGGUGAAGAUAAUGACUGUAGCCGGAGAAGAAGCCCCGGCUAACUUCGUGCCAGCCGCCGCGGUAACAC